rnacentral:rRNA from 1 species
GACGAACGCUGGCGGCGUGCCUAAUACAUGCAAGUAGAACGCAGUUGCGAACGGGUGAGUAACGCGUAGGUAACUGCCUCAUAGCGGGGGAUAACUAUUGGAAACGAUAGCUAAUACCGCAUACUGUGAGAUGGACCUGCGUUGCAUUAGCUCGUUGGUGAGGUAAAGGCUCACCAAGGCGACGAUCCAUAGCCGACCUGAGAGGCUGAUCGGCCACACUGGGACUGAGACACGGCCCAGACUCCUACGGGAGGCAGCAGUAGGGAAUAUUGCACAAUGGGCGCAAGCCUGAUGCAGCCAUGCCGCGUGUGUGAAGAAGGUUUUCGGGUUGUAAAGCACUUUCAGCGGGGAGGCGUUACCCGCAGAAGAAGCACCGGCUAACUCCGUGCCAGCAGCCGCGGUAAUUC